CUACGGGCUGCUCCAGCGAGGAAUAUUGCACAAUGGGGGAAACCCUGAUGCAGCAACGCCGCGUGGAGGAUGACGCAUUUCGGUGUGUAAACUCCUUUUAUCAGAGAAGAAAAUGACGGUAUCUGAUGAAUAAGCUCCGGCUAACUCCGUGCCAGCAGCCGCGGUAAUACGGAGGGAGCAAGCGUUAUUCGGAAUCACUGGGCGUAAAGGACGCGUAGGCGGGUUUUUAAGUCAGGUGUGAAAUCCUAUGGCUCAACCAUAGAACUGCACUUGAAACUGGGGACCUAGAGUAUGGAAGGGGCAGGUGGAAUUAGUGGUGUAGGGGUAAAAUCCGUAGAUAUCACUAGGAAUACCGAAAGCGAAGGCGACCUGCUGGGACAUUACUGACGCUGAGGCGUGAAAGCGUGGGGAGCAAACAGGAUUAGAUACCCUUGUAGUC
rnacentral:rRNA from 1 species